GACGAACGCUGGCGGCGUGCCUAAUACAUGCAAGUAGAACGCUGAAGGAGGAGCUUGCUUCCCUGGAUGAGUUGCGAACGGGUGAGUAACGCGUAGGUAACCUGCCUGGUAGCGGGGGAUAACUAUUGGAAACGAUAGCUAAUACCGCAUAACAGUAGAUAUCGCAUGAUAGCUGCUUGAAAGGUGCAAAUGCACCACUACCAGAUGGACCUGCGUUGUAUUAGCUAGUUGGUGAGGUAACGGCUCACCAAGGCAACGAUACAUAGCCGACCUGAGAGGGUGAUCGGCCACACUGGGACUGAGACACGGCCCAGACUCCUACGGGAGGCAGCAGUAGGGAAUCUUCGGCAAUGGACGGAAGUCUGACCGAGCAACGCCGCGUGAGUGAAGAAGGUUUUCGGAUCGUAAAGCUCUGUUGUAAGAGAAGAACGAGUGUGAGAGUGGAAAGUUCACACUGUGACGGUAUCUACCAGAAAGGAC
rnacentral:rRNA from 1 species